AGCUUUGUGCAGUUGCAAUAUUGUAGCCAGUGAAGGUUAUGUGAGGCGUGAUUAUUGCUACUUGAAAACUUUUCUCCAAUCUGC
ensembl:snRNA U4 U4 spliceosomal RNA